UAUACAUCCAAGAUGCAGAGAAAAAAAGAAGUUGGUCAGCACAAUCAAGGGCUAAAUCAUGCCUGCUGCAUUCACCCGGACCAAAGUAACAAUGAUGCCAAACUCGGUCAUUAAACAGCCUAUAUUGGAUAGUUGAAAACAUUUUCUCAGCUUAAGAAGUCCCUAUGGAGUGGGAAAUCAAAAUACCAGAGAUGGAGCUUCUAUCAAUUAUUCAUGGCCAUGGGCUUCUAGCAGCUUUUAUUUUUCUACUGGUCAACUUGUCUCCGUCUUCUUCUUUGCCUCAAGGAUACGGGCUCCCUUACAUGACUUCAAACGUCAAAGAGGUAUUAGGAAACUCCUUUGAUUAUAUAAUUGUGGGGGGAGGCACCGCCGGUUGCCCCCUAGCUGCAACUCUGUCAGAAAAAUUUUCUGUGCUUCUGAUAGAACGAGGAGGCUCACCGUAUGAAAAUCCUAUGUUGCUGGAUAAGAAGUACUUUGGCUUCCCAUUUCUCCAAACUGACGAAUUUUCAUCUGUGGCUCAAAGAUUUAUCUCCAGAGAUGGAGUUCCAAACCUAAGAGGACGAAUCCUUGGAGGAACAUCAACCAUAAAUGCUGGUUUCUAUAGCAGAGCCAGUGCUGACUUUAUUAAAAGAGUUGGGUGGGAUGAAAAGCUGGUGAAGGAGGCCUAUGAAUGGGCGGAGUCUAAAGUUGUUUUUAAACCUCUGUUAACCAAGUGGAAUUCUGCUGUUAAGUCUGGCCUUCUUGAAGCAGGAAUUCUACCUUAUAAUGGUUUCAGCUGGGAUCAUAUUGCGGGAACAAAAAUCGGUGGAACUGUGUUUGAUGCAAACAGAAAAAGGCACAUCUCAGCUGAUCUUCUAGAAAGAGGGAACUCAAGUAAUAUCGUAGUUCUUCUGAAUGCUACUGUGAAGAAUAUCGUCUUCCGAAGUGAUGAUAAAGGAAAAAAGAGCAUAGUUCGUGGUAUCAGGUUCAUUAAGAGCAACGGCAGCAUAAAUCAAACUUAUGAAUCUUACCUUACCCAACCAGAGAAUUCGAGUCCACAGGGUGAUGUUAUUUUGUCAGCAGGAGCGAUAGGCAGUCCCCAAAUUCUAUUGCUAAGCGGCAUCGGACCAAAAGGACAUCUUGGGAACUUCAGCAUCCCACUUUUGUUGGACUUGAAAGGCGUUGGGCAAGAUAUGCAAGACAAUCCUGGAAUCACCUUGAUCCUAAGGGCCAAACCUGAAUAUCGGCUACCAGAAUCGCCUCAAGUUGUUGGCAUAGCAAAAGACUUCAAAUUCGUUGUUGAGGGAUUUGUGCUACCAGUAAGCAUGAAUGCAACGACACUUAUGCGAAUUUCAAUUAAGUUGGCAUUUCCAGAAUCCAAAGGGAAGCUCGAAUUGAACAACACAGACCCUAGGCAGAACCCUGUGGUGCUGUUCAACUAUCUAGCAGAGGAAAAAGACUUGAGAGAAUGUGUCCAGAUGGUUCAACUGGUUAAGAAAGUAGCAAGGUCCAGGUCCAUUGCUCGGUUCCUGGGGGCCAAACCCCUAAUUAAUGUGACAUCCAAUCCCAAUGAGCUAAGAAACUUCUGCAGGAAGAACGUGAGGACUUAUUAUCACUUUCACGGUGGUUGUUCUAUAGGAUCAGUUAUCGAUAAUGAUUACAAAGUAAUUGGAGUGAAGGGAUUGAGAGUAAUAGAUGGCUCAACUCUCUCCGAAUCGCCAGGAACAAACCCCAUGGCCACGCUUUUAAUGCUAGGGAGGUACCAAGGGAUCAAGAUUCUCACGGAAAGGGAGGGUGCUUCUGCAUUUGGUAACCAACAACACCCGUAAUUAACGAACUCCCAACUUCAGCUAUAUGUAUCGUUUCUGGGAAGUUCAGUCGAAGGAAAUAAUUCACCGCUUUAUGGGCACGCCACUCACAAAAUGGAUUUUCCUAUUGAAAUGCCUUUGUUGUCUGGAUACUUUAACUAAUAAUUCUACACCUCCUUUGGCAAAAGGUGAGAACGCUAUUAGAGCCCUUUAAAUUUAAACUUGGUGCUGCUUAUUUUCUGGUACAAUAUUCAUGUAGAUUGUUCGAUAACUAACGAAUUUGUUUGUGUUGAAAAUUGAUGUCGGAUUUUUAA